rnacentral:rRNA from 1 species
GACGAACGCUGGCGGCGUGCUUAACACAUGCAAGUCGAACGGAAAGGCCCUGCUUUUGUGGGGUGCUCGAGUGGCGAACGGGUGAGUAACACGUGAGUAACCUGCCCUUGACUUUGGGAUAACUUCAGGAAACUGGGGCUAAUACCGGAUAGGAGCUCCUGCUGCAUGGUGGGGGUUGGAAAGUUUCGGCGGUUGGGGAUGGACUCGCGGCUUAUCAGCUUGUUGGUGGGGUAGUGGCUUACCAAGGCUUUGACGGGUAGCCGGCCUGAGAGGGUGACCGGCCACAGAGGAACUGGGAUACGGCCCAGACUCAUACGGGAGGCAGGAGUGGAGAAUAUUGCACAAUGGGCGGAAGACUGAUGCAGGAACGCCGCGUGCGGGAAGACGGCCUUCGGGUUGUAAACCGCUUUCGCUUGUGACGAAGCGUGAGUGACGGAAAUGGGUAAAGAGGCACCGGCGAACUACUU